UACAGAGGUGGCAAGCGUUGUUCGGAAUUACUGGGCGUAAAGGGCGCGUAGGCGGCCAUCUAAGUCAGACGUGAAAUCCCCCGGCUUAACCUGGGAACUGCGUCUGAUACUGGAAGGCUCGAGUUCGGGAGAGGAAUGUGGAAUUCCAGGUGUAGCGGUGAAAUGCGUAGAUAUCUGGAGGAACACCGGUGGCGAAGGCGGCAUUCUGGACCGAAACUGACGCUGAGGCGCGAAAGCCAGGGGAGCAAACGGG
rnacentral:rRNA from 1 species